rnacentral:rRNA from 1 species
GAUGAACGCUGGCGGCGUGCUUAACACAUGCAAGUCGAACGAAGCAUAUUUUAUGAAGUUUUCGGAUGGAUUAAUUUAUGACUUAGUGGCGGACGGGUGAGUAACGCGUGGGUAACCUGCCUCAUACAGGGGGAUAACAGUUGGAAACGACUGCUAAGACCGCAUAAGCCUACAGUGCCGCAUGGCACGGAAGGAAAAAAUUUUUUGGUAUGAGAUGGACCCGCGUCUGAUUAGCUAGUUGGUAAGGUAACGGCUUACCAAGGAGACGAUCAGUAGCCGACUUGAGAGAGUGAUCGGCCACAUUUGGACUGAUACACGGCCCAAACUCCUACGGGAGGCAGCAGUGGGGAAUAUUGCACAAUGGGGGAAACCCUGAUGCAGCGACGCCGCGUGAGUGAAGAAGUAUUUCGGUAUGUAAAGCUCUAUCAGCAGGGAAGAUAAUGACGGUACCUGACUAAGAAGCCCCGGCUAACUACGUGCCAGCAGCCGCCGCCG